GGGGCCAUAGCGCAGUUGGGAGCGCGUCUGCAUGGCAUGCAGAAGGUCAGGGGUUCGACUCCCCUUGGCUCCA
rnacentral:tRNA from 4 species